AGAGUUUGAUCAUGGCUCAGAACGAACGCUGGCGGCAGGCUUAACACAUGCAAGUCGAACGGAUGUAGCAAUACAUUAGUGGCGCACGGGUGAGUAAUACAUGGGAACGUGCCCUUCAGUCUGGAAUAACAGCGGGAAACUGCUGCUAAAACCGGAUAUUCUCUUCGGAGGAAAGUUUACGCUGAAGGAUCGGCCCAUGCCAGAUUAGGUAGUUGGUGGGGUAAAAGCCUACCAAGCCUACGAUCUGUAGCUGGUCUGAGAGGACGACCAGCCACACUGGAACUGAGACACGGUCCAGACUCCUACGGGAGGCAGCAGUGGGGAAUAUUGGACAAUGGGGGAAACCCUGAUCCAGCCAUGCCGCGUGAGUGAUGAAGGCCUUAGGGUUGUAAAGCUCUCUUGUCAGGGAAGAUGAUGACGGUACCUGAAGAAUAAGCACCGGCUAACUUCGUGCCAGCAGCCGCGGUAAUACGAAGGGUGCUAGCGUUGUUCGGAAUCACUGGGCGUAAAGCGCGCGUAGGCGGCUUUUCAAGUCAGGGGUGAAAUCCUGGGGCUUAACCCCAGAAUUGCCUUUGAAACUGUAAAGCUAGAGUGUCGGAGGGGAUAGCGGAAUUUCCAAUGUAGCGGUGAAAUGCGUAGAUAUUGGAAGGAACACCGGUGGCGAAGGCGGCUAUCUGGACGACAACUGACGCUGAGGCGCGAAAGCGUGGGGAUCAAACAGGAUUAGAUACCCUAGUAGUCC
rnacentral:rRNA from 1 species